rnacentral:lncRNA from 1 species
GAGAAACAGAAUCCUAACUAUUUCUGAGGAAACUGUCCAAAAUGUGGCUGCUUUUAACAAUGGCAAGUUUGAUAUCUGUACUGGGGACUACACAUGGUUUGUUUGGAAAAUUACAUCCUGGAAGCCCUGAAGUGACUAUGAACAUUAGUCAGAUGAUUACUUAUUGGGGAUACCCAAAUGAAGAAUAUGAAGUUGUGACUGAAGAUGGUUAUAUUCUUGAAGUCAAUAGAAUUCCUUAUGGGAAGAAAAAUUCAGGGAAUACAGG